AGCAGCCGCCACGGUAAUACGUAGGUGGCAAGCGUUGUCCGGAAUUAUUGGGCGUAAAGGGCUCGCAGGCGGUUUCUUAAGUCUGAUGUGAAAGCCCCCGGCUCAACCGGGGAGGGUCAUUGGAAACUGGGAAACUUGAGUGCAGAAGAGGAGAGUGGAAUUCCACGUGUAGCGGUGAAAUGCGUAGAGAUGUGGAGGAACACCAGUGGCGAAGGCGACUCUCUGGUCUGUAACUGACGCUGAGGAGCGAAUGCGUGGGGAGCGAACAGGAUUAGAUACCCCGGUAGUCCCUGUCUCUUAUAC
rnacentral:rRNA from 1 species